UACGUAGGGGGCAAGCGUUGUCCGGAAUCAUUGGGCGUAAAGCGCGUGUAGGCGGCCAGGUAAGUCCGUUCUGAAAGCCCGGGGCUCAACCCCGGGAGGCGGAUGGAUACUGCUUGGCUCGAGUCCGGAAGAGGCGAGUGGAAUUCCCGGUGUAGCGGUGAAAUGCGCAGAUAUCGGGAGGAACACCAAUGGCGAAGGCAGAUCUCUGGGCCGUAACUGACGCUGAGGAGCGAAAGCGUGGGGAGCGAACAGG
rnacentral:rRNA from 1 species